rnacentral:rRNA from 1 species
CACGUAGUUAGCCGGUGCUUCUUCUCCACCUACCGUCAAACCCACAACAAGUGAGCCCUUCGUCGAUGAUGAAAGGAGUUUACAACCCGAAGGCCUUCAUCCCCCACGCGGCGUCGCUGCAUCAGGCUUGCGCCCAUUGUGCAAUAUUCCCCACUGCUGCCUCCCGUAGGAGUCUGGGCCGUGUCUCAGUCCCAAUGUGGCCGUCCACCCUCUCAGGCCGGCUACCCGUCGCCGCCUUGGUAGGCCAUUACCCCACCAACAAGCUGAUAGGCCGCGGGCCCAUCCUGCACCGAAAAAACUUUCCACCACAUCCUCACGAUGCGGUCCUAUCCGGUAUUAGACCCAGUUUCCCAGGCUUAUCCCGAAGUGCAGGGCAGGUCACCCACGUGUUACUCACCCGUUCGCCACUCGAGUACCCCCGAAGGGGCCUUUCCGUUCGACUUGCAUGUGUUAAGCACGCCGCCAGCGUUCAUCCUGAGCCGAGGAUCAAACUC